rnacentral:tRNA from 1 species
GCAGCUAUAGCUCAGUGGUAGAGAGUGCAUGCCUAGCAUACAUGAGUUCCUGGGUUCAAUCCCUGGUACCUCCA